CUGCCUGUACUGACACAGGUGACAUAGUCAUCACCAUCCUUGCCUGUACUGACACAGGUGACACGGUCAUCACCCAUCCCUGCCUGUACUGACACAGGUGACACGGUCAUCACCAUCCCUGCCUGCCUGUGCUGACACAGGUGACACGGUCAUCACCCAUCCCUGCCUG